rnacentral:rRNA from 1 species
AGCCUGCCCAGUGACUAAGUUAAACGGCCGCGGUACCCUAACCGUGCAAAGGUAGCGCAAUCACUUGUUCUUUAAAUGAGGACUAGUAUGAACGGCAUCACGAGGGUUAUGCUGUCUCCCUAUUCUAUUCAGUGAAACUGAUCUCCCCGUGAAGAAGCGGGGAUAAAAAUAUAAGACGAGAAGACCCCAUGGAGCUUUAAACUCAGUACCAACUGCCCAAUUAAAAACCUUUUACCCCUGCAGCUAUGGUUACUAGUUUUCGGUUGGGGUGACCACGGAGUAAAAAUUAACCUCCACGAUGAAAGGAAUUAACAACCUAACCUAUGAGCUACAGCUCUAAGUAUCAAUAAAUUGACUAAUUGAUCCAAUUACUUGAUCAACGAACCUAGUUACCCUGGGGAUAACAGCGCAAUCCAUUUCAAGAGCUCAUAUCGACAAAUGGGUUUACGACCUCGAUGUUGGAUCAGGGUAUCCCAGUGGCGCAGCCGCUACUAACGGUUCGUUUGUUCAACGAUUAAA